rnacentral:rRNA from 1 species
UACGGAGGGUGCGAGCGUUGUCCGGAAUCACUGGGCGUAAAGGGCGCGUAGGCGGCCCGGUAAGUAGGGGGUGAAAUCUUGCGGCUUAACCGCAAGGCUGCCUUCUAAACUGCCAGGCUUGAGCACAGUAGAGGCAGGUGGAAUUCCCGGUGUAGCGGUGGAAUGCGUAGAGAUCGGGAAGAACAUCGGUGGCGAAGGCGGCCUGCUGGGCUGUUGCUGACGCUGAGGCGCGACAGCGUGGGGAGCAAACAGG